AUACGUAGGGAGCAAGCGUUAUCCGGAUUUAUUGGGUGUAAAGGGUGCGUAGACGGAUAAACAAGUUAGUUGUGAAAUACCUCGGCUUAACUGAGGAACUGCAACUAAAACUAUAUAUCUUGAGUACUGGAGGGGAAAGCGGAAUUCCUAGUGUAGCGGUGAAAUGCGUAGAUAUUAGGAAGAACACCGGUGGCGAAGGCGGCUUUCUGGACAGCAACUGACGUUGAGGCACGAAAGUGUGGGGAGCAAACAGGAUUAGAUACCCUGGUGGUCCACACCGUAAACGAUGGAUACUAGGUGUUGGCUGUGAUGAGCAGUCAGUGCCGUCGCAAACGCAGUAAGUAUCCCACCUGGGGAGUACGUUCGCAAGAAUGAAACUUAAAGGAAUUGACGGGG
rnacentral:rRNA from 1 species